AGAGAGAGAGAGAGAGAGAUGCAGCAGCAAUAAAAUUUUCUACUUUCUCAAAAUCCCAACCCGUCAUUUCUAUCCAUCUAUAUCCAUUCAUCCUGAUCAAAAAACUAAAUCUUUAUGAAAUCUUUUCUAACUUUUUUCUCUUCUAAGCACCUUUUCAUCACAUUUUAUGUAAUAUUGUUCUCACUAUGAACCAGAAAACUAGGUAUUAAAUAGAAUAACCCAAAAAAUAACAAAAAAGUAUCACAACCAACUUGUAAAGUAGCUUAUAAGAAGAUCUCCAAUCACCCAGUUAUAAAACUUAUAGCACCAAUGAUAAUAACUAUAGCAAAAAAUGCUUCUUCAUAUAUCUAAUACAAACUAGUGAACUAUACAAUCACAGUUUAUACGAGUGACAACUUAGACAGCAACAUAAAUCACAACCAAAUAUUUGUUCAUUUGGGGAUAAAUUUUAACAACUGUUCCU
rnacentral:misc_RNA from 1 species